rnacentral:rRNA from 1 species
CGAGUGGCGGACGGGUGCGUAACGCGUAGGAAUCUGCCUAUUAGUGGGGGAUAACAGCUGGAAACGGCUGCUAAUACCGCAUACGCCCUUCGGGGGAAAGAUUUAUCGCUAUUUGAGGGUCCUGCGUUCGAUUAGCUUGUUGGCGGGGUAACGGCCCACCAAGGCGACGAUCGAUAGCUGGUCUGAGAGGAUGAUCAGCCACACUGGGACUGAGACACGGCCCAGACUCC